rnacentral:rRNA from 1 species
UGGGGAAUAUUGCACAAUGGGCGCAAGCCUGAUGCAGCCAUGCCGCGUGUGUGAAGAAGGCCUCGGGUUGUAAAGCACUUUCAGCGAGGAGGAAGGGUAGUGUGUUAAUAGCACAUUGCAUUGACGUUACUCGCAGAAGAAGCACCGGCUAACUCCGUGCCAGCAGCCGCGGUAAUACGGAGGGUGCAAGCGUUAAUCGGAAUUACUGGGCGUAAAGCGCACGCAGGCGGUUUGUUAAGUCAGAUGUGAAAUCCCCGCGCUUAACGUGGGAACUGCAUUUGAAACUGGCAAGCUAGAGUCUUGUAGAGGGGGGUAGAAUUCCAGGUGUAGCGGUGAAAUGCGUAGAGAUCUGGAGGAAUACCGGUGGCGAAGGCGGCCCCCUGGACAAAGACUGACGCUCAGGUGCGAAAGC